rnacentral:rRNA from 1 species
GACGAACGCUGGCGGCGUGCUUAACACAUGCAAGUCGAACGAGGCUCCUUCUUCGGUUGGGGUUCUAGUGGCGAACGGGUGAGUAACACGUGGGCAACCUGCCCCUGGCUCUGGGAUAACUCCAAGAAAUUGGGGCGUAAUACCGGAUAUGACCGCUGAUCGCAUGGUCUGGUGGUGGAAAGAUUUAUCGGCUGGGGAUGGCCCGCGGCCUAUCAGCUUGUUGGUGGGGUAGUGGCCCACCAAGGCGACGACGGGUAGCCGGCCUGAGAGGGUGACCGGCCACACUGGGACUGAGACACGGCCCAGACUCCUACGGGAGGCAGCAGUGGGGAAUAUUGCGCAAUGGGCGAAAGCCUGACGCAGCGACGCCGCGUGGGGAUGACGGCC